UUGAUCUCAAAUCAGGUAGGACUACCCGCUGAACUUAAGCAUAUCAAUAAGCGGAGGAAAAGAAACUAACAAGGAUUCCCCUAGUAACUGCGAGUGAAGCGGGAUGAGCUCAAAUUUAAAAUCUGGCGUGCCUCUGGUCGUCCGAGUUGUAGUCUGGAGAAGCGUUUUCCGUGUUGGACCGUGUAUAAGUCUCUUGGAACAGGGCGUCAUAGAGGGUGAGAAUCCCGUCUUUGACACGGACUACCAAUGCUUUGUGAUGCGCUCUCAAAGAGUCGAGUUGUUUGGGAAUGCAGCUCAAAAUGGGUGGUAAAUUCCAUCUAAAGCUAAUAUAGGCGAGAGACCGAUAGCGAACAAGUACCGUGAGGGAAAGAUGAAAAGCACUUUGGGAAAGAGAGUUAAACAGUACGUGAAAUGCUGAAAGGG
rnacentral:rRNA from 1 species